CUGACUGGCUCCAGAAUCUGCUGGGAUUGUGGUCUGCUCCUGAGGGAUUUGGGCUGCACUGGGAGGCAGCUGUGGCACAACUCUGGCAGCCAGGAGGGAGAGCCCCUGUCAAGCCUCAGGAACAAUCAUUCCUAAGGACCCAGCUUUAGAGUCCAGGGAGAGCUGACCGUCAUAAGAACUGAGAGGCCAUAACAUUUCCUCUGCCUUGAACCCACUUGGGAUAGCCAGCAGAAUGCCAGUCAAGGGCCUGCUCUAACCCGG
rnacentral:lncRNA from 1 species